AGUGAACGCUGGCGGUAGGCCUAACACAUGCAAGUCGAACGGCAGCACAGUAAGAGCUUGCUCUUACGGGUUGCGAGUGGCGGACGUGUGAGGAAUACAUCGGAAUCUACUUUUUCGUGUGGGAUAACGUAGGGAAACUUACGCUAAUACCGCAUACGACCUACGGUUGAAAGCAGGGGAUCUUCGCACCUUGCGCGAUUGAAUGCGCCGAUGCGGGAUUAGCUAGUUGGCGGGGUAAAGGCCCACCAAGGCGACGAUCCGUAGCUGGUGUGAGAGGCUGAUAGGCGACACUGGAAGUGAGACGCGGUCCAGAGGACUACGGGAGGGAGCAGUGGGGAAUAUGGGACAAUGGGGGGAAGCCUGAUCCAGUGAUACCGAGUGGGUGACGAAGGCCUUGGGGGUGGAAAGCCCUUUUGUGGGGAAAGAAAAGCAUCAGGUUGAGACCACGCGUUAGUGACGGUACCGAGAGAAUAAGCACCGGCUAACUACGUG
rnacentral:rRNA from 1 species